CCGACGUGGACACCCAGAGAGCUGCUCUCCUGGCUCUGUCCUGGUGGCGUAUGGGAGCGUAGCUCUGAGCUGAGACGUACAGUCCCGUUCCACGACUUCGCAGACGAAGCUCUGUCCCCGGCUGCUGCUGGUGAGGACAGGCGUCCUGCAUAUUCCUACAUCUUCCCAGAGUCCUUUGGGGCCGUUACUGGGGAGCUAAACCAUGCAGUGCACACUG
ensembl:snoRNA SNORA73 Small nucleolar RNA SNORA73 family